CCUGGGCGAUCCGACCGCGUGUCCCGCUGCCGGGCCACGGCAGCAACCCGAUCGUCGGCGGCUCGCCCGACGU
rnacentral:sRNA from 18 species